rnacentral:lncRNA from 7 species
GGUGCCGGGCCGGGUCGGGCGGCGGCGGGGGCAGAAGGCGGCGGCGACGGAGCCCAGGGCCGCGACCGUGUACUGCAUGAACGAAGCGGAGCUGGUGGAGGUGGCGCUGGGCGUGCUGGCUGAGAGCUUGCAGCGCGAGGGAGCUGAGGAGAAGGCCUGCAGCGGGAGCCAAGAGGAACAGGACGUUCAGCAAGUGGAAGAGGAGCUGCAGGCAGAACCGAGCCAGGCUCCCGGAGGCACAGCCAGCGCGGAGGAAGGCAGCGACGGCAGCCUGGGCCCUCCAUCUCCUCCUGGUGCUGGUGCAGAGGCAGAGAGGACUGGCCUUGAUGACUCUGAGGAUGAUGCUCUGAAAUACGUCAGGGAGAUCUUCUUCACUUAGCAUUGCCCCUACCACAGCUGUGCACACAAGGAUGGGGUUGGGAGGGCAUAGCCCAUCAAGAAGGAGGGUUGGGUACCCUCAGAGAGGGCAUUCCUGGGUCACGUGUCAGGCACUGUCCUGCUGGUCUCCCUUUCUCCCUUACCACACAUCUUGUCACUGUGACGCUACAAAUCCUCACAGCAAUAAAGGGAGUGAAGGAAUGCAGUUAUUGU